GACGAACGCUGGCGGCGUGCUUAACACAUGCAAGUCGAACGAAGUGGCGAACGGGUGAGUAACGCGUAAUCAACUUGCCCUUCAGAGGGGGACAACAGUUGGAAACGACUGCUAAUACCCCAUACUGAAGGAGGGGAUUGCGUCUGAUUAGCUAGUUGGAGGGGUAACGGCCCACCAAGGCGAUGAUCAGUAGCCGGUCCGAGAGGAGGGACGGCCACAAUGGGACUGAGACCCGGCCCAGCAUCCUACGGGAGGCAGCAGUGGGGAAUCUUCCGCAAAGGACGAAAGGCUGAAGGAGCAACGCCGCGGGGGUGAUGACGGCCUUCGGGUUGUAAAGCUCCGUUAAUCGGGACGCGGUACCUGAAUAGAAAGCCACGGCUAACUACGUGCCAGCAGCCGCGGUAAUUC
rnacentral:rRNA from 1 species